rnacentral:rRNA from 1 species
UGACGCAGUUGCGCCUGAGCCAUUAGGCUGAAGGCACGUCUGCCUGGGCGUCACGC